CCUACGGGGUGCUGCAGUGGGGAAUAUUGGACAAUGGGCGAAAGCCUGAUCCAGCCGUGCCGCGUGUGUGAAGAAGGCCUUCGGGUUGUAAAGCACUUUCAGUGGGGAAGAAAGCCUUGGGGCUAAUACCCUCGAGGAAGGACAUCACCCACAGAAGAAGCACCGGCUAACUCCGUGCCAGCAGCCGCGGUAAUACGGAGGGUGCGAGCGUUAAUCGGAAUUACUGGGCGUAAAGCGUGCGUAGGCGGUCUGAUAAGCCGGUUGUGAAAGCCCCGGGCUCAACCUGGGAACGGCAUCCGGAACUGUCAGGCUAGAGUGCAGGAGAGGAAGGUAGAAUUCCCGGUGUAGCGGUGAAAUGCGUAGAGAUCGGGAGGAAUACCAGUGGCGAAGGCGGCCUUCUGGACUGACACUGACGCUGAGGUGCGAAAGCGUGGGUAGCAAACAGGAUUAGAUACCCCAGUAGUC
rnacentral:rRNA from 1 species